rnacentral:rRNA from 1 species
UACGUAGGGUGCGAGCGUUGUCCGGAAUUACUGGGCGUAAAGAGCUCGUAGGUGGUUUGUCGCGUUGUCCGUGAAAACUCACAGCUUAACUGUGGGCGUGCGGGCGAUACGGGCAGACUGGAGUACUGCAGGGGAGACUGGAAUUCCUGGUGUAGCGGUGGAAUGCGCAGAUAUCUGGAGGAACACCGGUGGCGAAGGCGGCAUCCUGGACCGACACUGACGCUGAGGAGCGAAAGCCAGGGGAGCAAACGGG